CUCAGGCCGCUGACCGCGGCCCCGGACGAGGGAUCAGUACCCGGAACGCGACAAGACUGGCCACG
rnacentral:ncRNA from 1 species